rnacentral:rRNA from 1 species
GUAGGCAGCAAGCGUUGUUCGGAGUUACUGGGCGUAAAGGGUGUGUAGGCGGUUUUCUAAGUCUGGUGUGAAAUCUCCCGGCUCAACUGGGAGGGUGCGCCGAAAACUGGAAGGCUAGAGUACUGGAUGGGAGAGUGGAAUUCCUGGUGUAGCGGUGAAAUGCGUAGAUAUCAGGAGGAACACCUGUGGUGUAGACGGCUCUCUGGACAGUAACUGACGCUGAGACACGAAAGCGUGGGUAGCAAACAGGAUUAGAUACCCUGGUAGUCCACGCCCUAAACGAUGCAUAUUUGGUGUGGGCAGUUCAUUCUGUCCGUGCCGGAGCUAACGCGUUAAAUAUGCCGCCUGGGGAGUACAGUCGCAAGGCUG